rnacentral:rRNA from 1 species
GGAAUAUUGGGCAAUGGAAGAGAUUCUGACCCAGCCAUGCCGCGUGCAGGAAGAAGGCCUUCUGGGUUGUAAACUGCUUUUACCAGGGAAGAAAACGCCCCUGCGGGGGUAACUGACGGUACCUGGUGAAUAAGCACCGGCUAACUCCGUGCCAGCAGCCGCGGUAAUACGGAGGGUGCAAGCGUUGUCCGGAUUUAUUGGGUUUAAAGGGUGCGUAGGCGGCCCGUUAAGUCAGCGGUGAAAUCCCGGGGCUCAACCCCGGAACUGCCGUUGAUACUGGCGGGCUUGAGUUCGGUCGAGGCGGGCGGAACUGGCGGUGUAGCGGUGAAAUGCUUAGAUACCGCCAAGAACCCCGAUUGCGUAGGCAGCUCGCUGGGCCGAAACUGACGCUGAGGCACGAAAGCGUGGGGAGCGAACAG